UUGCUGUGUGUCUAGCUUCUCUUUCCCCUUCUGCAGAGGAAAGGGUCCAGGACUUUGCUCUGAGCCUUCCCUGUCACUCUCCUAGCCCUGGAUUCACAACGGCUGUGUCCCUUGACGACACAGAAUGGGGAAUAUCAAGAUUUCCUGGCCUAUUAUAGGAAACAGUGCCCCAGGCCACUGUGAUUGGCUCAGGUGUGGACAUAUGACUGGGCUCUGUCCAAUUAGAGCAUGUCCCUGAUGGUGUGGAAGCUCUCUCUGCUGCUGGAUUUGGGCCUGGAAGAGGUGAAUGGAACUGAUGGGGCUGGAUUGUUGCCAUGCAGAGCCUGGGAAAGAAACCAAUGAGGAGGGUAGAGAUGGUGUGGCUUCAAGCCUGGCUUUUCAGUGACAAUGAUCUUCCAUCGGUCCUCGACCCUGCUCACUUGUCUCCAUCUUCCUUCUCCAAGAACUGGGCUGCCAAUGCUGUUUAACUUUGCAGGAUGAAAACCAGAGGUGGAAGGUGGGGGCUAAGCAAAAUGAUUCUGUGAAAAUGCUUUAGCACCUUGUAACUAUUAAAAUCAUG
rnacentral:lncRNA from 1 species